rnacentral:lncRNA from 13 species
UUUCAUGGAGUUUGUACUUCCAGCUUCAUGAGCAACUUAGUAGCCUGUGCAGUGGUGCCUCCUUUGAAAAUGACUAAUAUGGUCUAGUCUGGUGGCUCAUGUCUGUAAUAUUGGCACUUUAGGAGGCCAAGGUGGAUGGAUCACAAGGGCCCAAGUGUGCAGCACCUCUACCUGGAAUGUGAUGCUCAGGCAGUGAGAGGCAACAACACAGAGAGCUGGUCAGAAUCAAGGCUCCAUGAAGCCUCAUCUCAGACUUGUUGCAGUGUCACUUCCAUCCCUUGUCCAUUGGCAAAAAAACAGAUGACAUGAGGUAAGGCAAACAUAUUGCUUAAAAGUACCAGUUCUGAAACCAGUGAUCUGAAUUCCAAGGCUGGCUUCAAUACAGGACAAACUGUUGGACCUCGGGUAAGCUACAAAACCCCUCUGUGACUCAGUUUUCCAUCUUAAAAAUGGGAAAUUCUAUUAAUAUCUACUAAUUUAUCAAUUGUUUAAUAUGCAGUACAGG